rnacentral:rRNA from 1 species
GAUGAACGCUGGCGGCGUGCUUAACACAUGCAAGUCGAACGUGAGGGUGCAGCGAUGUGCCUGAAAGUGGCGAACGGGUGAGUAACACGUAGAUGACCUGCCCUGGAGUGGGGGAUAACCAUUGGAAACGGUGGCUAAUACCGCAUACAUCCGGAGAACUGGGAAGUUUCUGGGGAAAGCUCUGGUGCUUCAGGAGGGGUCUGCGUCCGAUUAGCUAGUUGGUGGGGUAAAGGCUCACCAAGGCGACGAUCGGUAGCUGGUCUGAGAGGACGAUCAGCCACACGGGAACUGAGACACGGUCCCGACUCCUACGGGGGGCAGCAGUGAGGAAUAUUGGGCAAUGGGCGGAAGCCUGACCCAGCAACGCCGCGUGGAGGAAGACGGCCUUCGGGUUGUAAACUGCUUUAUAUGUGUACGAAUAUGACGGUAGCAUAUGAAUAGGGAUCGGCUAACUCCGUGCCAGCAGCCGC